AGUGAACGCUGGCGGUAGGCCUAACACAUGCAAGUCGAACGGCAGCACAGGAGAGCUUGCUCUCUGGGUGGCGAGUGGCGGACGGGUGAGGAAUACAUCGGAAUCUACUCUGUCGUGGGGGAUAACGUAGGGAAACUUACGCUAAUACCGCAUACGACCUACGGGUGAAAGCAGGGGACCUUCGGGCCUUGCGCGAUUGAAUGAGCCGAUGUCGGAUUAGCUAGUUGGCGGGGUAAAGGCCCACCAAGGCGACGAGCCGUAGCUGGUCUGAGAGGAUUAUCGGCCACACUGGAACUGAGACACGGUCCAGACUCCUACGGGAGGCAGCAGUGGGGAAUAUUGGACAAUGGGCGCAAGCCUGAUCCAGCCAUACCGCGUGGGUGAAGAAGGCCUUCGGGUUGUAAAGCCCUUUUGUUGGGAAAGAAAUCCAGCUGGCUAAUACCCGGUUGGGAUGACGGUACCCAAAGAAUAAGCACCGGCUAACUUCGUGCCAGCCGCCGCAGUAA
rnacentral:rRNA from 1 species